rnacentral:rRNA from 1 species
GGGGGAAACAUCGAUUGCGCCAGUAAGACGAUUUUGCUUAUCACCCCAGAAGGAAGAAGGAUUAAGUAUGUAUCCCAGCAUGUGCCGAAGAGGACUCAAGUAAAUUCCUUAUCAGGAGUUGUACAGGAAGAAGUACCAGUGGUGAAGGAUUACCCGGAUAUAUUUCUAGAAGAGUUGCCAGGCAUGCCACCAGAUAGAGACAUAGAGUUUUUGAUUGAACUUUUGCCAGGCACAGGGCCGAUAUCUAAGAGACCGUACAAGAUGCCCGCUAAGGAUUUGGAAGAAAUUAAGAAGCAGAUUAAGGAGUUACUGGAUAAAGGCUAUAUUCGCCCAAGUUCUUCACCUUGGGGAUCACCCGUACUUCUAGUGGAGAAGAAAGAUGGAUCGUUGAGGAUGGUUGUUGAUUACCGUGGAUUGAAUGAAGUGACCAUCAAAAAUAAGUACCCACUGCCGAUGAUCAAUGAUUUGUUUGACCGAUUACAAGGAGCUAAGGUAUUUUCCAAGAUCGAUCUAUGA